rnacentral:tRNA from 1 species
UAGUGUAUAGCUCAAGUUGUAGAGUGUGUGCUUAGCAUGCACGAGGUCCCGGGUUCAAUCCCCAGUACCUCAU